UUGUGUAAUUAUAUUACUCAGUUAUUGGGCUUAUUGUAUGGAUCACACCCUGACGUUUCAUUGUUGUUAACCUUUUGGAGAUAUAGCGAGUGGUAUACCUUGGGAUGGUCAAAUGCGACGUAAGAGCUGAGAUUGAAUGCAUGAGACAUGCUUAUGUUGGUUAUGUCAGAUGAGUUUUGAGGUUCGACUAAGAAAGUGUUAACUGAGAACAGGAGACUCAGAUGAAGGACUCCUAUUUGGAACUUUUCACUUGAAGUAUGUUUUCGAGGACGAAAACUCUUUUAGUGGGGGAGAGUUGUAACACCCCAUAUUUUCUAAUUUUAAUUUAAUUGGAAAUUAAAUUAUUUAUUAGAAUUAUUUUGGUAUUUGGUUGAAUUAUUGUAGGAUUAUGGAUUUAAGGGCCAUUGGGCCGGAUGGUGAGGUUAGUAGUAUGAGGGUGCUAAGUGAGUAAGCCCAUUACUAACCAUUUUAUGUUUUCAUAAAAUAAGGGAAAUAUGGAAAAAAGAGUCAGUACGUGAAAAAUGAAAAGUUGGAGAGAAAAGGAAGAACACGUGAAAGAACAAGAGAAGAGAAGAGGAGCAAGGAGGAGGAAAACCCCAAAGCUCAAGGAGAAUCAAGAAACUAAUUCCAGAUUGAAGUAGCGGCCUAAGCGAUCGGUGAGGAUGACUCGUAGAGUUUAUCCAGUUAUGUUGGGUCGUGUCGGUCAUGCUCUGAUCUUGUAACACUGGGGGACGAUAGUCUUAGAGUUUACUAGUGAUACACUAUUUUGACAUUAUUGUAUAAUGUACCGUUGAUUUUAUCGGAAAUGUUUUAUAACAUUGUUGAAUGAGUUUCCGCUGUGCUGAACAUGUAUUUUGAUAUUUUGGAUUAUUCUUAAUAAAGCAUGACAAACGACUUGGAGUUUUGUUUAUUUUA